rnacentral:tmRNA from 1 species
GGGGUUGUUCAGGCUUCGACAUAAGAAAUUUGGCUUAGAUUGCAGUCGAGUUGUGACGUAAUCACUAAAACAGAUUAUCUGGCAACAGAAAUCAACAAUUUGCAUUUGCUGCUUAAGCACUUGUUAUCUAAUUAGAUAAAAUGCAACGUACUCUAAGGUUUCAUCUUCUCACGCUUAGUAAUGUAUGUAAUACCAAGAAGAUAAGGAAUUAAUAUGAUUAUGUUUAAUUCCCGACAAAUUUAUAAUCUAGUGGUGUAAAGUUCGUCAAGAUUGAUAAGCCAUGAAAUUACUAACCUUGACUAAACUGUAGUAGUCUUUGUAGGGUUUCUUAUGGACCAGGGUUCGACUCCCUGCAGCUCCACCA